UGAGCAAUCUGCCCUUCUCAUCGGAAUAAGCGUUGGAAACGACGUCUAAUGCCGAAUACGACCUCCUUUCGCAUGAUCGGAGGUGGAAAGCUCCGGCGGAGAAGGAUGAGCUCGCGGCCUAUCAGCUAGUUGGUGAGGUAACGGCCCACCAAGGCGACGACGGGUAGCCGGCCUGAGAGGGUGACCGGCCACACUGGGACUGAGACACGGCCCAGACCCUCCGUACGGGGAGGCAGCG
rnacentral:rRNA from 1 species